UACGGGGGGGGCAAGCGUUGUUCGGAAUUACUGGGCGUAAAGGGCUCGUAGGCGGCCAACUAAGUCGGAUGUGAAAUCCCCAGGCUUAACCUGGGAACUGCAUCCGAUACUGGAUGGCUUGAAUCCGGGAGAGGGAUGCAGAGUUCCAGGUGUAGCGGUGAAAUGCGUAGAUAUCUGGAGGAAUACCGGUGGCGAAGGCGGCAUCCUGGACCGGCAUUGACGCUGAGUGAGCGAAAGCCAGGGGAGCGAACGGG
rnacentral:rRNA from 1 species